rnacentral:rRNA from 1 species
UACGAAGGGGGCUAGCGUUGUUCGGAAUCACUGGGCGUAAAGGGCGCGUAGGCGGCUUUGUAAGUCGGGGGCGAAAGCCUGUGGCUCAACCACAGAAUUGCCUUCGAUACUGCAUGGCUUGAGACCGGAAGAGGUUAGUGGAACUGCGAGUGUAGAGGUGAAAUUCGUAGAUAUUCGCAAGAACACCAGUGGCGAAGGCGGCUGACUGGUCCGGUUCUGACGCUGAGGCGCGAAAGCGUGGGGAGCAAACAGG